UUUUUGUUCCCUUGCGCCCAGCGCGCGGUGGCGCUGAUCCACGGCUUUUGUUCGCUUGCGGCUGUGCCGACGCCGACGCCGACGCGCGCUGCUGCGACUGUCGCCGCCGCCGGAUCCGAGGUCGUGGUGAGUUCAGCCUUCGGGAGGCCGGAGGGGGACACAACAGGGUUGCUCGGUGGGCGGUCGUCAGGACGUGGUCCGGUGUCCGUGACGACACUAGGGAUGAGAGCGUUCCCUCGUGGGUUCUAG
rnacentral:lncRNA from 1 species